UUUAAAACAGGAUAAAGUUUGUAAGUUUAAUGCAAAGAGCGUAAGAUUAAAUGAAGCCACACAACAUAAAAGGAAGUAUUUGCUAAAUUGUUCCGUG